rnacentral:rRNA from 1 species
GACGAACGCUGGCGGCGUGGCUAACACAUGCAAGUCGAACGGGGAGUUACUUGUAACUCCUAGUGGCGAACGGGUGAGUAACGCGUAGACAACCUGCCUCUAAAUUGGGGACAACACCGCGAAAGUGGUGCUAAUACCGAAUGUGGUAACUUGAUCGCAUGAUCGAGUUAAGAAAGAUGGCCUCUAUUUAUAAGCUAUCGAUUAGAGAUGGGACUGAGUCUGAUGAGCUAGUUGUUGAGGUAAUGGCUCACCAAGGCGACGAUCAGUAGCCGGUCUGAGAGGAUGAACGGCGACACUGGGACUGAGACACGGCCCAGACUCCUACGGGAGGCAGCAGUGGGGAAUCUUCCGCAAUGGACGAAAGUCUGACGGAGCAACGCCGCGUGAGUGAAGAAGGUCUUCGGAUAGUAAAGCUCUGUCGUUUGGGACGAACGUGCUUUGUGUGAAUAAUGCAGAGUAAUGACGGUACCAAAGGAGGAAGCCACGGCUAACUACGUGCCAGCCGCCGCAGUAA